UACGUAGGGUGCGAGCGUUGUCCGGAAUUACUGGGCGUAAAGAGCUCGUAGGCGGUUUGUCGCGUCUGCCGUGAAAACCCGAGGCUUAACCUCGGGCUGGCGGUGGAUACGGGCAGACUAGAGGUAGGUAGGGGAGAAUGGAAUUCCCGGUGUAGCGGUGAAAUGCGCAGAUAUCGGGAGGAACACCGGUGGCGAAGGCGGUUCUCUGGGCCUUACCUGACGCUGAGGAGCGAAAGCGUGGGGAGCGAACAGG
rnacentral:rRNA from 1 species